rnacentral:rRNA from 1 species
UUCCGGUUGAUCCCGCCGGACCCGACUGCUAUCAGAGUGGGACUAAGCCAUGCGAGUCAACGUAGCAAUACGUGGCAUACGGCUCAGUAACACGUAGUCAACAUGCCCAGGGGACGUGGAUAACCUCGGGAAACUGAGGAUAAACCGCGAUAGGCCAUGAUUUCUGGAAUGGAUCAUGGCUGAAAUCUACAUGGCCCCUGGAUUGGACUGCGGCCGAUCAGGCUGUUGGUGAGGUAAUGGCCCACCAAACCUGUAACCGGUACGGGCUCUGAGAGGAGGAGCCCGGAGAUGGGCACUGAGACAAGGGCCCAGGCCCUAUGGGGCGCAGCAGGCGCGAAACCUCUGCAAUAGGCGAAAGCCUGACAGGGUUACUCUGAGUGAUUCCCGCUAAGGGAGUCUUUUGACACCUCUAAAAAUGGUGUAGAAUAAGGGGUGGGCAAGUCUGGUGUCAGCCGCCGCGGUAAUACCAGCACCCCGAGUGGUCGGGACGAUUAUUGGGCCUAAAGCAUCCGUAGCCGGUCCCUGCAGUCUUCCGUUAAAUCCACCUGCUCAACAGAUGGGCUGCGGAAGAUACUACGGGGCUAGGAGGCGGGAGAGGCAAGCGGUACU